AUUGAACGCUGGCGGCAGGCUUAACACAUGCAAGUCGAGCGGAGAUGAGGUGCUUGCACCUUAUCUUAGCGGCGGACGGGUGAGUAAUGCUUAGGAAUCUGCCUAUUAGUGGGGGACAACAUUCCGAAAGGAAUGCUAAUACCGCAUACGUCCUACGGGAGAAAGCAGGGGAUCUUCGGACCUUGCGCUAAUAGAUGAGCCUAAGUCGGAUUAGCUAGUUGGUGGGGUAAAGGCCUACCAAGGCGACGAUCUGUAGCGGGUCUGAGAGGAUGAUCCGCAACACUGGGACUGAGACACGGCCCAGACUCCUACGGGAGGCAGCAGUGGGGAAUAUUGGACAAUGGGGGGAACCCUGAUCCAGCCAUGCCGCGUGUGUGAAGAAGGCCUUAUGGUUGUAAAGCACUUUAAGCGAGGAGGAAUGGCUCUUGGUUAAUAACCUUGAGCAGUGACGUUACUCGCAGAAUAAGCACCGGCUAACUCUGUGCCAGCCGCCGCCGUAACAC
rnacentral:rRNA from 1 species